UAUUAAAUAUUUUUAAAAUAUUUUUAAAAUAAUCAAUUUAACAACUUAGAUAUCUUAUUUAAAAAUAGAGACUUGUUAAAACUACAUCCCAAUUUUGUUUAAGCUACACCUCCCUUUCCACUUUAUGAUUCAUUUUUGUACAAGUUCUAUGUCUUUCAUCUUAUUUUUGUAUCCCAACCUUGCUACCUCAUCUACAUUCUUGGUCCCACUACCAUGUUUCUAUCCUCCAAUCCCAACCUCAAAUUCCAACCCUUCUACCAUGCCCCACACACCUUCCCUCCUAUGUCUCCAUCCUAUACCUACCCUCC
rnacentral:lncRNA from 1 species